GGAAUUUUCCGCAAUGGGCGAAAGCCUGACGGAGCAACGCCGCGUGAGUGAAGACGGUCUUCGGAUCGUAAAACUCUGUUAUUAGGGAAGAACAAUCUUGACGGUACCUAAUCAGAAAGCCACGGCUAACUACGUGCCAGCAGCCGCGGUAAUACGUAGGUGGCAAGCGUUAUCCGGAAUUACUGGGCGUAAAGCGCGCGUAGGCGGUUUUUUAAGUCUGAUGUGAAAGCCCACGGCUCAACCGUGGAGGGUCAUUGGAAACUGGAAAACUUGAGUGCAGAAGAGGAAAGUGGAAUUCCAUGUGUAGCGGUGAAAUGCGCAGAGAUAUGGAGGAACACCAGUGGCGAGGGCGACUUUCUGGUCUGUAACUGACGCUGAUGUGCGAAAGCGUGGGGAUCAAACAGGAUUAGAUACCCCUGUAGUC
rnacentral:rRNA from 1 species